rnacentral:rRNA from 1 species
UACGUAGGGGCCUAGCGUUGUCCGGAUUUAUUGGGCGUAAAGAGCUCGUAGGCGGUUUGGUGAGUCGGGUGUGAAAUCUCCACGCUCAACGUGGAGGGGCCACCCGAUACUGCCAUGACUAGAGUCCGGUAGGGGAGUGUGGAAUUCCCGGUGUAGCGGUGAAAUGCGUAGAUAUCGGAAGGAACAUCAGUGGCGAAAGCGACUUCCUGGACCAGUACCGACGUUCAGGCACGAAAGCGUGGGGAGCAAACAGG